GCGCCCGUAGCUCAGUCUGGCAGAGCAACGGACUUUUAAUCCGCAGGUCGAAGGUUCGAAUCCUUCCGGGCGCACCA
rnacentral:tRNA from 1 species